rnacentral:tRNA from 1 species
UUCUAGCUGGUCUAGUAGCCAGGAUUCCUGGUUUUCACCCAGGAGGUCCAGAUUCAAUUCCUGAGCAAGAAA